UUGCGGUUAAAACGUUCGUAGUUGAAUUUUCGUCCCACACGGGUAAUGUACCCAAGUGCGGGUUUGCAUUACUUGUUGCUUGUGCAUUGGUAAAACAGUGUGCAUGUGACUUUAAGUGUGAUGGAUGUUUUACCGGUGACACCCUCUCAUUUGUGUGAUUUAUCAUACGGUGAAGAGAUGUUAUGUAAAAAACCCAUUUUAGUGCUCUUCAUCGAGUGCUAUUGUGGGCCGGUACAAUUACUUUGAACAAAUUAGAGUGCUUAAAGCAGGCUAAAUGUAAUGAAAAUUAUAACGCCUGAAUAUAUUUUGCAUGGAAUAAUGGAAUAGGACCUCUGUUCUAUUUGAUUGGUUUCUAGAUCAAGAGGUAAUGAUUAAUAGAAGCGGUUGGGGGCAUUAGUAUUACAAGGCGAGAGGUGAAAUUCGUAGACCCUUGUAAGACUGACUUAAGCGAAAGCAUU
rnacentral:rRNA from 1 species